UGGGGAAUAUUGCACAAUGGGCGCAAGCCUGAUGCAGCCAUGCCGCGUGUAUGAAGAAGGCCUUCGGGUUGUAAAGUACUUUCAGCGGGGAGGAAGGCGAUAAGGUUAAUAACCUUGUCGAUUGACGUUACCCGCAGAAGAAGCACCGGCUAACUCCGUGCCAGCAGCCGCGGUAAUACGGAGGGUGCAAGCGUUAAUCGGAAUUACUGGGCGUAAAGCGCACGCAGGCGGUCUGUCAAGUCGGAUGUGAAAUCCCCGGGCUCAACCUGGGAACUGCAUUCGAAACUGGCAGGCUAGAGUCUUGUAGAGGGGGGUAGAAUUCCAGGUGUAGCGGUGAAAUGCGUAGAGAUCUGGAGGAAUACCGGUGGCGAAGGCGGCCCCCUGGACAAAGACUGACGCUCAGGUGCUAAAGCGUGGGGAGCAAACA
rnacentral:rRNA from 1 species